UUCUGAAGGCCGCAAUUAGCACUGCACAAUCGACCCUAUUACACUAGUGAUUUUACAUUAAAUCCCAGCUUCAUGUGAGAGAGAGGCUGCCGAUGAACGAAACAUUAGUCCAGCUUUUUGAUUCAGAGACGACGAUGGCGUUGGAGAGCGUGCUAACGUCAGCGCGUAAAUGCUCGCGGGAGCAGACGUCGUCCUGCCACUGAGCAGUGAACGACACGGAACCUUUCAGGCUGCAGCCGAAGUUGUUCGAGAGCUUCCGCACAUCGAACAAGCUCAUUAGCUGAUCCACAUUCCUGCUGAGAGCUGGGUUCAAGACGAGAAACGUUUUUCUUACCGGUCUGCUCUUCAAGAACAACCGGACCAACAGACGACAGAACCGUUCAUUAGAGGAAGAAACGGGCAGACGUCCUGCUGGCCCAGGUGCUGUACUUUCCCAGCUGCACGUGAACGCGACCGUCGCUGGAUCCUCUGUUCGGACGAGGUUGACGCGAGACUCAAAUCCGGCAAAUCCCCUCAGCGAAAAUCCUCCGACUCAGCUUUGAAAGGUGUCAAGGAGUCUGUGCAGCUGGUAGUUUAAGGGUCCACGUCGUCUCUGGUCACAUGAUGCCGUUGGUGACGUACUGGAAGGAGUCGUAGAGCUUGGUGGUGAUGGAGCGCAUGGAUCCGUCCACCAGCUGCUCCACCAGCAGCUGCAGCUGCUCCUCGGUCAGAGACAUGUGGAAACGCUCCUUCAGGCUGCGGAUGGUGCUGGAGCCGUGGAAACAGGGAAGGUGGGAACCUGGAGGGAAGAAAGAAUAAAGUGAGAGAAGCAUCUCCAACAGGCUCCUGGGCCGUCAACCCGCCGGGUCCACCGACGCUCGGCGGUCGGGCUGGCCAUCGAAAUUCAAUACGCUCCAGUGCUACCGCGUACCGAGAGAGGGCCGGUCUGGUACGAAGGAUCCAGACUUCAAUUCGUUCACUGAUCAGUUUUCCCCCGAAUCGCUUCAGCCUACAAGCCAGAGGAAAAAUCUCGGCGAUAUGUCGCUAUUUCAUUUUGAGCGAUGUGCAGAGUGUCGACACAGCCAAUGGAAACUUUUCGUCGCGACGAUACCGACACCUGCUGCGGGAUCCAGGACUUCCCUUUUCUCUGUCUGUGCUGAAGCGGAUUAAAUUGGUCGUCUGUUCUCUGCUUAGCGGAAUCAUCUGGAGUCACUGCACAGCUGGACCAGGGAACUUGACAGCGACAGUCUCGCUCUGGAUGCAGAUUAUUUCUACUCAACUGUUUUACACAUGAGGACUUGAAAUAUGACAUUUGAUUCAGGCUUUAGUCUCGUUGCUUUAUGCAGGAAACAAAAUAUCACGAAUCGUGAUUCAUUUUUCGCUUCAUCACCCAGCACGACCUGCAUCCUUCUCUAAAUUCAUUAAUAAGGUAACAUCUGCCAGCUCAGAUUCGGUAGGUAACGGUACCGAGGAAGCCGGGGAGCGGGAUCAGAAGAUCAUUUCUGUUUGAAAAAUGAAAUGAUUUGUAAUAAAAACCUGAUAAAACCCUGCCUAUAAAAUAAACAUCAUAAAAAUGUAGAGCAUGUAAUAAUUUUCUGCCCAUAAACACAAAAACUUCUAAUACCUGAUGACAAAUUGAAAUAAUGAACCAAAAUAAAAAUGAUUACA